UAGAUUUAAAAUAUAUUUAUGUUCAAUUUUUUCAAAAAUAAUGUAUAUAUAUUAAUCUUAUACUUAUAUUUCGUGUAAAAGUAUAUAUCCGUAUAACUUUGUUUAGGUAUCUGCUAUGCACUACACAAUAUGAACGCCUAGCGCGUUUUAGAACACGGGUUCUUCAUGUCUUCUAGUUUCGUUUCCACUAACUAUUUUCCAAAUUCAAAAUUAAAUAAUUUUCACGGGCCCAUUUACCACAUAAUAUACAAAACACCUUAAUAGAUAAAUAAAAUGUUUGUCGAAAAAGAUAAUGAAAUCUUUACAUUUUAUUUUACAUAUGCCAUAAAAUAAUCUGAGUCUUUGCUGGAAUGAUGGAAACUAAAUUGGGUAAAAAUGAAAUAAUCCAUGAUUUAUGAUCUGUGGCAUGUGCCAAAAGGUAUUUCCUUUAACUAUUGUCGAAUUCUUCUUUCAAUAUAUAAUACGAAGCGUGUAUAGUGAUAGUAUGGUUCCAAUCUUUAUACACAGGUCAUAGAUUCAGCUUAGUUAGAUACUUUCAAGCGAAUUAUAAUUCUGUGAAAUAAAUUAGUUAGACUUGCUGCUUAAUUUAGAUGAAAGUUAGGCUUGAGGUUUAAACCGUUGACCAAACAACAACCAGAAAAAGUUAGGCUGUUGACUUUUAAUAAUAAAAAAUGGGAGAUCAUUGGUUCUUCAAUUGAAUAGUUUCAAAAAGAAGAAUAUGAUAUUAAAAAAAUGUCAAAAGAGACAUUUUUUUUACAUCCGAGACAUUAAAGUUACAAGGUAAGGUAAAUAACUCUUUGAUAAAAAAAAAGGUAAAUAACACUAUGAAGUCAUAGUGAACCAGAUUUUGAAACUUGAAUACGUUUUUCUGGGAGAGAACUUAUAGAGUUUUCUUAGUUUUAUUUGCAGAAAAACACUAUCAUCAUACUGCCAAAACGACACUGGGAAAUAACUGACCCUAUUAUAAAGGUGGUCCCAAGUGACUGAAAUAUUGGUCCCAAAUGGUGCUUACAACAUGUUUGGGCUCAUAUGGAGACAAUAAUGCCCAAUCAUGUUUUAAGAUAUUCAGAAGUUGAAAACACUUUUUAAUCGGCUUUAAAUUGAUCAAAGAUCUAGCAAGAGCAGUACAGAAAUAUUUGGAAAACUCGAUCUCCACCAUUUACAUCUUUGUAAAAGAUAAUUCCAAUUUAUCCCAUCCAAAUUUAUUGAUAAGAAUCUAUCUAUAUUAUAAUGAGGCACUUUAGUGUUUCAUAAGGCUAUCCACGUAUGCGCUUUUUUAAUGAUAGCAGGGCCCACAUUCAUUGUUAUCCUCCUUCCAAAGUUCAACCUAGCCGUCUCGGCUUCUCUGCGAAGUUAAUGUUUCCUCUCAUCUCUUUACUUCCUUUAUCUAUCGUUCAAUGUAUUUCUAUUGUUCAACGUAUUUCUUUUAAUGUGCCAAUAAUUCUUAUUCACAUUAAACCCAGUAAGGAUGUCGACCUUUCCCUUUCUCCACAUCAAUGUAUAAAUCAGAGAAGGUUGAGAGCAUGAUGUAUCUUCAGAACCAUUCCGCAAGCUCCGUAGUCCGUACCCAACCUCUAACCCUCUCUUUCCCAUCUCCUCCGGCGUCCCGAUGCCGUCCCAGAAUCUACCGCUCUGUUUCGGCCGGCGAGACCACAAAAUGAUUCGUGGAUGAUCUCCCUGACAUAUCAUGGGGUUGCGAGAUAGAUUCAGUCGAGAACGCCAGUUCUCUUCAGAGAUGGCUCUCUAAUUCAUGCCUCCAGCCGCAGAAAAUGGCUAUCGACAGAGGACUCGCCGCGUUCUCAGAACUUAAGAAAAGGAGAAAAGCUUCUCUUCUUUCCUCAUUCUCUCAUCAUCAGUGCUGAUUCCGUAAGUUCAAAAGCGUUGAAAUUUUAUUUUGAACUUGCAAUAAUGUCAUGAGCUUUAGAUUCCUUUCAUGGGUUUAGGUGUGGACCAAUGGUGAGGCUGGUGAAGUGAUGAAACAUUAUGAUGUUCCGGAUUGGCCUUUGCUAGCUACUUGUCCAUCAAAUGAUGACGAUGACAUGAUGCUACCAUCGAUGAUGAUUAUUUAGGUUCUUUGGAUAGUUGGAAGCGGUGGGAGGUACAAAAGACAACGAAGGGAGGAUGGGGAAGCUGAUGGCGUGUUUGGCGACGCUUGAAGAGGCGUUUCAGAAGAGCAGCAACGGAUUAAGGUUCUUUGGAGGAGAGAACAUUGGCUUCCUCGACAUAGCUUGUGGAACCAUUUUCGGACCAGUCUCUGUGAUCGAGGCGUUUCCGGCGUUAAAUUUCUCCGGGAAGAAAUAACACCUGAAGUUUAGGGUCCAUGAAGCUGUCAAGCCUUACAUGCCUACCGUGCAAGAGUUCAUUGCAUUUGCUAAGAAGAAGUUUGGUGUUGAGUGAAUAUGGUUCUAGAAGCAAUCUAUGAAAACAGUAAAUGGAUGAAAUAAUGUAUGAGUGGUUUUUGUUGUCUUUAGUUCCAUAUAUAUGACAGACCUUUGUCUUUGUUCUUUCAUCUAAUGUGAUAAAAGUUUUAAUUGAUAUAAUCA